CUACCCUUGACAUGGCGGAGAUUCUGCCGAGAGGCGGAAGUGCUCGAAAGAGAAUCCGUGCACAGGUGCUGCGUGGCUGUCGUCAGCUCGUGUCGUGAGAUGUUGGGUUAAGUCCCAUAACGAGCGCAACCCCCGUCUAUAGUUGCUACCAUUGGGGCACUCUAUAGAGACUGCCAGCGAUGAGCUAGAGGAGGGAGGGGACGACGUCAAGUCAUCAUGGCCUUUAUGGGUGGGGCUUCACACGUCAUACAAUGGCUGGAGCAAAGGGUCGCCAACUCGAGAGAGGGAGCUAAUCCCACAAACCCAGCCCCAGUUCAGAUUGCACUCUGCAACUCGAGUGCAUGAAGGCGGAAUCGCUAGUAAUCGUGGAUCAGCAUGCCACGGUGAAUC
rnacentral:rRNA from 1 species